UAAGCGUGUAGGUGUGUGUUCCAGGUAAAUCCGGUUCACUUUAACACUGAGGCGUGACGACGAGGCACUACGGUGCUGAAGCAACAAAUGCCCUGCUUCCAGGAAAAGCCUCUAAGCAUCAGGUAACAUCAAAUCGUACCCCAAACCGACACAGGUGGUCAGGUAGAGAAUACCAAGGCGCUUGAGAGAACUCGGGUGAAGGAACUAGGCAAAAUGGUGCCGUAACUUCGGGAGAAGGCACGCUGACACGUAGGUGAAGUGAUUUACUCAUGGAGCUGAAGUCAGUCGAAGAUACCAGCUGGCUGCAACUGUUUAUUAAAAACACAGCACUGUGCAAACACGAAAGUGGACGUAUACGGUGUGACGCCUGCCCGGUGCCGGAAGGUUAAUUGAUGGGGUCAGCGCAAGCGAAGCUCCUGAUCGAAGCCCCGGUAAACGGCGGCCGUAACUAUAACGGUCCUAAGGUAGCGAAAUUCCUUGUCGGGUAAGUUCCGACCUGCACGAAUGGCGUAAUGAUGGCCAGGCUGUCUCCACCCGAGACUCAGUGAAAUUGAACUCGCUGUGAAGAUGCAGUGUACCCGCGGCAAGACGGAAAGACCCCGUGAACCUUUACUAUAGCUUGACACUGAACAUUGAGCCUUGAUGUGUAGGAUAGGUGGGAGGCUUUGAAGUGUGGACGCCAGUCUGCAUGGAGCCGACCUUGAAAUACCACCCUUUAAUGUUUGAUGUUCUAACGUGGACCCGUGAUCCGGGUUGCGGACAGUGUCUGGUGGGUAGUUUGACUGGGGCGGUCUCCUCCUAAAGAGUAACGGAGGAGCACGAAGGUUGGCUAAUCCUGGUCGGACAUCAGGAGGUUAGUGCAAUGGCAUAAGCCAGCUUGACUGCGAGCGUGACGGCGCGAGCAGGUGCGAAAGCAGGUCAUAGUGAUCCGGUGGUUCUGAAUGGAAGGGCCAUCGCUCAACGGAUAAAAGGUACUCCGGGGAUAACAGGCUGAUACCGCCCAAGAGUUCAUAUCGACGGCGGUGUUUGGCACCUCGAUGUCGGCUCAUCACAUCCUGGGGCUGAAGUAGGUCCCAAGGGUAUGGCUGUUCGCCAUUUAAAGUGGUACGCGAGCUGGGUUUAGAACGUCGUGAGACAGUUCGGUCCCUAUCUGCCGUGGGCGCUGGAGAACUGAGGGGGGCUGCUCCUAGUACGAGAGGACCGGAGUGGACGCAUCACUGGUGUUCGGGUUGUCAUGCCAAUGGCACUGCCCGGUAGCUAAAUGCGGAAGAGAUAAGUGCUGAAAGCAUCUAAGCACGAAACUUGCCCCGAGAUGAGUUCUCCCUGAGACUUAGAGUCUCCUGAAGGAACGUUGAAGACGACGACGUUGAUAGGCCGGGUGUGUAAGCGCAGCGAUGCGUUGAGCUAACCGGUACUAAUGAACCGUGAGGCUUAACCUUACAACGCCGAAG
rnacentral:rRNA from 1 species